CUUCUUAUUCUUCUUGAAGGUCUUCUUUCCCUUCUUCUUGAAGUCGGUAUUCUGUUGGACAUAAUUCUUUCCCUUGGGCUUGUGGGAAUUGAAGUUCCUCUGAUGUACCAUAUUGGCAGUAGAAGAGCUUUCCACCGCUUUUCCAUUGGAGUCCUUUGCUCUCGAGUUCUGCUCAACACUCAGAUGGCCGAUGAUGUCCUCGACUGAGAACUCACGCCUCUGAUGUUUCAGCGUAGUAGCAAAGUUCCUCCAGGAAUUAGUGAGCUUAUCAAUUAUACAGCCCACGACAAACUUGCCCGGCAAAUUGCACUUUGGUCCAAGCUUGUUUCAGCGUAUCCCAAAUUAACGCAGUCCACCGUCUUUGGUCCAAGCUUACGCUUCUUGGGGAUCGGUACAUUGACUUUCGCCAAGUAGCCCCAAGUACGUAAGUACGAGAGCGUCGUCCUUCUCUUCGACCACUCCUCAUAAGAAGCGACUUCAUUAUCUUUUGUAGGAACCUUAUUCAGGACAUGACACGUAGUCAAUAUAGCCUCCCCCCACCAUGCCUUGGAUAAACCCGAUGUAUCUAACAUGGCGUUAACCAAAUCAGUUAGAGUACGGUUUUUCCGCUCGGCAACCCCGUUUGACUGGGGUGAAUAGGGAGGCGUCCUCUCAUGAAUAAUGCCGUGUUCCGCACAAAAGAAAUCAAACUCGUUUGAGAAGUACUCUCCACCACGAUCAGACCGGACUCGUUUAAUUUUCUUUUCAAGUUGAUUCUCAACUUCUGCCUUAUAGAUUUUAAAGUAGUGUAGAGCCUCAUCUUUAGUAUUUAACAGAUACACAUAACAAUAUCUAGUGGAAUCAUCUAUCAAUGUCAAAUAUUUCUUUCCACCUUUAGUCAACACACCAUUCAUCUCACAAAGAUCAAAAUGUAUGAGUUCUGAUGGUGCCAAGUGUCUCUCCUCUGCAGCCUUGUGAGGCUUGCGAGGUUGCUUUGCUUGCACACAUGAAUGGCACUUAGAACCUUUGGCUAAAGUGAACGUCGGGGUUAAAUUCAGUUUUGCUAGCCGCGACAUAACACCGAAACUUAUGUGACAAAGACGUGAAUGCCAAACUUCAGAUUCAUUAACACUCGAAUGAAUAUUGUUCACGACUUUAUUACAAAAAACUGCAAGAGAAAGGCAGAACAGACCUCCGCAUUCAUAACCUUUUCCAACGAAAAGUCCAUAUUUCAUAACAACUACUUUAUUAGACUUGAAUACCAACUUAAACCCUUCUCUACACAGAAGGGAGCCACUAACGAGAUUCUUCUUGAUGGCGGGAACAUGCUGCACGUUCUUCAGCCGCACGAUCCUCCCCGAAGUAAACUUCAGAUCGACCGUGCCAACACCAAGAACAGAAGCACUCGCGCCAUUCCCCAUCAAUACGGACCCGAGACCGGUGGCCUGGUAAGAAGAAAACAAUGAUAUGUCAGCACACACAUGAAUAUUUGCACCCGUGUCCACCCACCAAUCGGUGGACUGACAAACUGAAAAUACAGUAAGUAAAUUACCGUACCCAGAUGCACCACUUUCAUUGUGGCCCACAAUCAUAUUGGCAAACUUGGAGUCCUGCGCCGGCUUCUUGUACUUGUUUGGGCAUUUGUUCGCCCAAUGUUCCUCUGAACCACAAGUAUAGCAGCCAUCUCCCUUAUUAUUCUUCUUGAAGGUCUUCUUUCCCUUCUUCUUGAAGUCGGUAUUCUGUUGGACAUAAUUCUUUCCCUUGGGCUUGUGGGAAUUGAAGUUCCUCUGAUGUACCAUAUUGGCAGUAGAAGAGCUUUCCACCGCUUUUCCAUUGGAGUCCUUUGCUCUCGAGUUCUGCUCAACACUCAGAUGGCCGAUGAUGUCCUCGACUGAGAACUCACGCCUCUGAUGUUUCAGCGUAGUAGCAAAGUUCCUCCAGGAAUUAGUGAGCUUAUCAAUUAUACAGCCCACGACAAACUUGCCCGGCAAAUUGCACUUUGGUCCAAGCUUGUUUCAGCGUAUCCCAAAUUAACGCAGUCCACCGUCUUUGGUCCAAGCUUACGCUUCUUGGGGAUCGGUACAUUGACUUUCGCCAAGUAGCCCCAAGUACGUAAGUACGAGAGCGUCGUCCUUCUCUUCGACCACUCCUCAUAAGAAGCGACUUCAUUAUCUUUUGUAGGAACCUUAUUCAGGACAUGACACGUAGUCAAUAUAGCCUCCCCCCACCAUGCCUUGGAUAAACCCGAUGUAUCUAACAUGGCGUUAACCAAAUCAGUUAGAGUACGGUUUUUCCGCUCGGCAACCCCGUUUGACUGGGGUGAAUAGGGAGGCGUCCUCUCAUGAAUAAUGCCGUGUUCCGCACAAAAGAAAUCAAACUCGUUUGAGAAGUACUCUCCACCACGAUCAGACCGGACUCGUUUAAUUUUCUUUUCAAGUUGAUUCUCAACUUCUGCCUUAUAGAUUUUAAAGUAGUGUAGAGCCUCAUCUUUAGUAUUUAACAGAUACACAUAACAAUAUCUAGUGGAAUCAUCUAUCAAUGUCAAAUAUUUCUUUCCACCUUUAGUCAACACACCAUUCAUCUCACAAAGAUCAAAAUGUAUGAGUUCUGAUGGUGCCAAGUGUCUCUCCUCUGCAGCCUUGUGAGGCUUGCGAGGUUGCUUUGCUUGCACACAUGAAUGGCACUUAGAACCUUUGGCUAAAGUGAACGUCGGGGUUAAAUUCAGUUUUGCUAGCCGCGACAUAACACCGAAACUUAUGUGACAAAGACGUGAAUGCCAAACUUCAGAUUCAUUAACACUCGAAUGAAUAUUGUUCACGACUUUAUUACAAAAAACUGCAAGAGAAAGGCAGAACAGACCUCCGCAUUCAUAACCUUUUCCAACGAAAAGUCCAUAUUUCAUAACAACUACUUUAUUAGACUUGAAUACCAACUUAAACCCUUCUCUACACAGAAGGGAGCCACUAACGAGAUUCUUCUUGAUGGCGGGAACAUGCUGCACGUUCUUCAGCCGCACGAUCCUCCCCGAAGUAAACUUCAGAUCGACCGUGCCAACACCAAGAACAGAAGCACUCGCGCCAUUCCCCAUCAAUACGGACCCGAGACCGGUGGCCUGGUAAGAAGAAAACAAUGAUAUGUCAGCACACACAUGAAUAUUUGCACCCGUGUCCACCCACCAAUCGGUGGACUGACAAACUGAAAAUACAGUAAGUAAAUUACCGUACCCAGAUGCACCACUUUCAUUGUGGCCCACAAUCAUAUUGGCAAACUUGGAGUCCUGCGCCGGCUUCUUGUACUUGUUUGGGCAUUUGUUCGCCCAAUGUUCCUCUGAACCACAAGUAUAGCAGCCAUCUCCCUUAUUAUUCUUCUUGAAGGUCUUCUUUCCCUUCUUCUUGAAGUCGGUAUUCUGUUGGACAUAAUUCUUUCCCUUGGGCUUGUGGGAAUUGAAGUUCCUCUGAUGUACCAUAUUGACAGCAGAAGAGCUUUCCACCGCUUUUCCAUUGGAGUCCUUUGCUCUCGAGUUCUGCUCAACACUCAGAUGGCCGAUGAUGUCCUCUACUAAGAACUCACGUCUCUGAUGUUUCAGAGUAGUAGCAAAGUUCCUGCAGGAAUUAGGGAGCUUAGCA
rnacentral:lncRNA from 1 species